GGGAAGGGGGAAAUAGUCGUCCGCACCUUCACAGCAAGGCGCCAGAAGAAAAGUUGCCGCACGACAAAAAAAGGGCAGAGUGACAUUCCCCGAACCCCAGCACACGGGAACAAACGAAAACCCGUCGCCAGUGCAUGUGCGUGAGAAGAUGGCAGCACAACGGCAUGUACCUUCAGGAAGAAAAAGUGAUCUACUGAAAGUGUAGACUCUCUGACUCUUCUUCACCAUUCACGUGGUCGCACACCCGGGCAUACGCAGACGCACAUGCACAAACAGAGAAGAAAGGGAAGAGUAACCUGCUUUUUUAGCGUCCUUGGUUAUCAUUUUCCGCUGAUAAUGCCGAGCACCUGUCCGUGGUAUCACAGGGCCCCGUGCCCCACACUCUGUGGGGGCUCCACGAGCCUGCAGCCUGCCCUCGUGGUACCCUGAGGGACUCUUGGUGCCGGCGGACAGGUCUGCGCUGCGAUCCUGUGCCAAAGAGACUUGCGACCGUGAUCAAGAUGGGCCUGGCUCACUAGCGAUUGUGUCGACGAUUCGACAGACAGUCGAAAGACAAAUCCAUACCAACAAGCACCGAAAUCGCGUGUGUGCAAAGCAUGCGGCAUCCCCCCUACAUCCCGACCGGGUGCACUGGUGAGACACAGGUGGCGGAGGCAUGACGAGAGGACCCCGCGUUUACGUCAUCGAGCCCUCCUGGCUCCACUGUGGAGAGUGACCGCGCCACAUUGUGGUAUGCCGUGGCUGGAAGCGGCUCGCCACCAAAAAGAAACACGGGAUACAGGUAGGGGGUGCGCAGAGUCUAUGAGAGCCUUGGCCUGAAGCUGGUCAACGUGCCCUCCCUGAGCUCAUGCGGCAUGCGUCCAGAUCCCUCUUCCUCCUUCCACUACCCGCACAGUGGAUGCCACCGCCUCGGCCCCUGGAGCAUGGCCCUGGACGGGGGAGACCGCCUUUGGCUCGAGGGGUUACCGCCCCCCCCCUCUCUCCACCCCGAGUCUCUCCGUCUGGCGCCGGUCGUGCAGCACCUAUCCGACGAGGGGACGAGGAAGGGCACGAAGAGUCCGCUGGACGCGUUGAGCCGAUUCGACGGCAGACGGUAUUCGCCCGAGAAGAUCGAGAUCUCGCGGUGCUCCUACAGAGGCCGGUGCGCUGACAUGGUAUGCCGCAACUUCUUGACUGGCUCAUGGCAGAACAGCGCCUUGACAAGGAAAAAGCAUCUGUUUUGCUGAUUCCCACUAAUAUACCGGGCAAAGGCGUAAGUGCACGGGAUGGUGGUUCACAGUGCCAUUACGGCUUCCUC
rnacentral:misc_RNA from 1 species